AGAGUUUGAUCCUGGCUCAGGAUGAACGCUAGCUACAGGCUUAACACAUGCAAGUCGAGGGGAAACGACAUCGAAAGCUUGCUUUUGAUGGGCGUCGACCGGCGCACGGGUGAGUAACGCGUAUCCAACCUGCCCACCACUUGGGGAUAACCUUGCGAAGGUAAGACUAAUACCCAAUGACGUCUCUAGAAGACAUCUGAAAGAGAUUAAAGAUUUAUCGGUGAUGGAUGGGGAUGCGUCUGAUUAGCUUGUUGGCGGGGUAACGCCCGCAAGGCUACGAUCAGUAGGGGUUCUGAGAGGAAGGUCCCCCANAUUGGAACUGAGACACGGUCCAAACUCCUACGGGAGGCA
rnacentral:rRNA from 1 species